rnacentral:lncRNA from 1 species
UAUUUUUUCUUUUCUUUUGAUUUAAUUUAAAUAAGUUAUAUAAGUUAAUGGCGAGAGUUGUACUUAGAGUAACAUGAACAACUAAGAUUUAACUCAGUUAGAAAAUUAACAAACUUCAAUUUUCAUGAAGUUUCGAUUUAUUUAUAUAUUGAAUGAAUUCCAAAAUGAGCUUUAAGAAAGUCUAAUUCACAAGCAAAUUUGUACAAGUGUUUGGAGCAUGUACUUGGGGAGAUUUAAAAAAUAUAUAUAUAUAUAAACUAAACUAAAAAUUAAAUAAAGUGAUGAAAAUAAAAAUAAAAAAGUAAGACGAUGUAACUCUUUAGAACUAUUAGAUCAUUCACUUUUUUCAUUUCUUUUCUUUUUUCACGAAAUUCUUGAUCUAAACAUAGCAUAAAACACCUCCAAACUUCAACUUCAUCAAUUGCAAAUCCAUGUGAGGACAUACUCAAAGCAGAGGUCAAGUUCGAAACUGGCCUUAGCUAUGCCUCUUUUUGUAUAUUUCCUUGAUAAUAUCUGAAUCUGUGUGUGGUAUUUAAAAUGCAUUCCCUGAAUCUCUAUAGUAAGGUUUUAAAAUUUUAUUGCUAUUUCCAUAAUUGAAACUCAGUGACAGUAAGUAUAUAUAUCACUUCACUUCAAGAAAGUGAAGUGAUACCGUCUUAUUUGAAUGUAAUAUUUAAUAUUCAAAAUUUAUUAACUUUUAUGUGUAUGUGAGGUCCAUUAUAUCUAUAUUCUAGUUUUUAAUAGAUGGUGAUAUCGCAUGUAGAGAUGGCAAUCUCCGCUCCACCCUGCCUCCACCCUAAUUGAGGCGAAUAUCCACAUACUUUUAGGAAAUGGAGUGAGGAUAAAGAAAAAUGUGAACAUGUCGAGGGAUCAUUAUGCAUACCUCCAUUCCAAAUCUCUUCUUUGAAUGAUAAGAAGCACAAUCACUUAAACUAGGCUAAAGUCUAAUUCAAACAUAGCCUUAACAACUCCAUAUUAUAGAAACAAAAACUAAGUAAUAGUGAACUUAAAAAUUGGGCGUAUCCCAAUUUGUAUUACUAUUUUUUUCCUAGCUUCUUAUUUGCACCUCACAAUUAAAAAAUCUAUAAUCUGUUGAAAGAAACUGCACUAGUAAAUGAUAUGGUUAGAAGUUACAGGAUCUAAAGGUUCGAGAUGAUUGAAUCAUCUAACGUUUCUAAUGUCAGAGUCAAGAGUAAAUGGGUCAAAAAGAGAUUUCUGUAAAAGCACAACGCAAGGUGUAAUUACCCAAAAAUAAUACUGAGUCAACACAAGUGAGUCAAAAGCCGAGUGAACGAACAACGCAAAGUGUCAGAAACGCACCUUGGAUGUGGAGAGCCUUUGUUUUGAAUCUUUGAUGGGUUGUGACCGUUCAUAGAGCCGCACUUCCUCUUCCCCUACGACGAAGGCCGCGGCGGCCGACCACUCCCUGCCGACGCCGACGACGACAACGAAUUCGCCGCUGAUUUUUUGAGGAAGCGGAAGUAAACAAUAAACCCUAGAAAUCGAAUCCGUUUUUUUUUAAUGGUCCGAUUCUGAUCCAACAGCUCUGAUUCUCUGAUUUUCUCUUGUUAAGAAUCUCUUGUUAAGAAAUCAUAGGGUCCUCUUCUGAAGCGAGCGUGGCCGAUUUUGGUCCGAUUGAUCAUAGUGAAAAAACAUGGCCCUAGUCAUAAUGGGUCCCGCAUAAUAAUGGGUCCCAAAGUCAACAAGGAUCAUGACUAUAUUUAGCCUGGUAAUGCUUAAAAGCAAAUUUUUUUUUUAGUUUGCUACUAAAAAAUUUAAAAAAUUUAAAAAAUUUAGAUUUUUUUGCUUUCAUAUAUUUACUUUAGCUAAAAAAAAUUAAAAAAAUCAACUCUAGUGGUUUUUUUGCUUAUAAGCUUAACGUCUUGUCAGGGCAAAUGUUUUUUUUGAAUUUUUUUAAUAGUCUUAACUUUUGAUUUUUUUUUAUUUUAAAUAAUUUUUUUAAUUAUUUUAUUAAAAUUUUAUAUUUUAUCGAUUCUUCUGUGGAUGGAAAUCCAAAAAUAUAAAUAAUUUUAUAUAAUUUAUAAAAAAACUCACUAAAGAUAAAAAAUUAUUUUUUAGAUUUUUUUGAAUGAAAUUAUUAUUUUUGGCCUUUUGUAUUUUUUUUCAAAUUAGAUGAAUAUUUUUAUAUUUUUAGACUAUAAUCAAGAUCAAAUGGAAAAAAGAGUUAACUAAAAUACCAAAAAACAGAGUCGGCAGAGAUUUGUAAAAGAAAAAAAAUAUUAAACUUGAAUCGUUAGAUUCGUUGACUUUUCUUUUUUUUUUUCUCUACCAAAUCAUAAAUCCAAAUAUAGCCUUGAACAAUUUAAGAUUGUAUUUCAAUAAAAAAAUUGGUAAGAUUUGUUAAGGAAAAUGAAAAAUUAAAAAAAAGAAAAUGCUACACAUCAUCCAAAGAACGGUGAUUUUUUUUUAAUAGGAAAGAAAUAUAUUGAUAAUUAUGAAAAUUGUAUAUAAAUUUAUAAAUAUUCGUAUUAACUACCGCUCAAUAAAUCUAACAAGCGAUGAUUGAGAGUGAAGUCAUGUGUCCAAUUGUUUUUGGUUUCAAUUUAUAUUUAUAUUUAAUGGGGUAUGAGGCCCAUAACCCAUGCACGCGAGAUCUAUUAUGUAUAUUAUUAAUUGAAUGACGAUAUGGAAUAAAAUUGAAUGAUAAGAAUAAGUUUGUAGAUAGAUUGUCAUAUUUUAAGACAAUUUUGAUUUGUAAUCAUACUGCUAUAAAUAUUAAAUCAAUUUAACUUUUUUUUUAUAGACAAUCUAUGUUCAUAGACUUAAAAAAAUGAAUCGAUUGAGAUCCUGUUUUGGGUAUUUAUUUAUUUUAUCUUUUUAUGUUAGUAAAUUUUUUUCAUCGUUUUUUUAAAUUUUAAAUUUUUUUAGUUUAUUUUGACAAGAAUAGUCCGAAGAUAGAUUUUUUUUUUAUCUAAUUUGAUUUUUUUUUAUUAAAAACGAUUAUAUUUUUUGACUCCUUUUGUCAAUAAAAAUUAAAAAAAUAUAAAUUUUUAAUCAAACAAAAAAAUAAAUUCACUAUAAAUAAAAACUUGAAAAUAAAAAAAUAAAAAUAUCCAAACUUGAAUCGAUGAAUCUUUUAGUCAUCCAAACCGGACCGACAUAGCACAAAAAUCAAAUCUAUUUGGAUAAACUGCAGAAUUCACGUGUAUACUGAAAAUCAAAGGCUGACAGCCUCGUCAAUCAGCGCAUUAAAUUGGAAAAUUAUUCAGUGCUUUGAGCGCAAGUCCUAGUAGUGUUCUAACAUUAGAAUGAUUGAUCUAAAAUACUGAUAUUCAUUAACUUUUGUGUAUAAAUUGUAGUCGACAUGUGCAAAUGUAUCACUCAGUAAAUGAUGUAGAGCAAUACUCUAAGAGUAUCGAAUAAUCUCUCAUUAAAUUUGGAUCAGCUGGGCUUGAAUCUGAACCGAAGUCCAGUUACAAGCAUUCACGAGGUGAGCAUCUUUUGUGAAGAUAGACCCAUCAUCCAUCCCGACCCAAUAGUGGCCGCAAAAAGUUCUGGCCCGGCCCACCUUCAUAGCACGUCCAAUUCAGAUCAUUUGUCCAAAUCGUUCGACCGAUUAGCCUAGAUUAUUCGGCCCGUUUUUUGGCCCAACCCAUCCGAUCCUCCACACUUCUCCAGCGCCAAGAACUGUACCAUUGGACUAAACUCAUUCAUUAAUAAAAAUAUUAAAUUUUAAUAAAUAAAUACAUCGUCAAAUAAUAAAAAAGAGGAGAAUUUUUUAGGGACCAAUAUUUGAACCCGCAACCUCGACCCUCUGCACCUAGAACCAUACUACUAGGCCAAACACUCAAUUCAUUUAUAAAAAGGUUAUGUUUUAAUAGUAAACAAAUCGCCAAACAAUAACAAGAAAAGAAGAAUAUUUGAGAGAGCAAGAUUCGAACUCACAACCUCCCUCCCCUGCAGCUUGAACCAUACUACUGGACCAAACACUUAUUCAUUUAUAAAAAUUAGUAAUUGUCCGUACCCACGAGCACUAUGUAAAAAAAAAUAUUACUUCUUAAGCAUACUCGUUAGAGUUUUGCAACAUAAAAAAACACAUAAGAUAUAAAUGUCAGAUAAGAGAUUUAUUGUAUGCAUAUACGAAAGGAUACAUUACUAUAAAAUAGAAAAUAAAUUAAAAAGUAUAAUAAUUUUUAAAAAAAUAUUACUAAUUUGAGAGAAAUGAGAAGAAAAGAAAGGGGGUUUUAUUUUUUUUGUAUGUGGGUCCCACUAAAAAAAUAAUUCAAUCAGUGAAACAUAUGCCCACAUUUUUAGAAAUUCUUUGGCUAUUGAACCACAACCUAUAUGAGACCUAUAACUUUAUAAAGAAGAAAAUAAUAUUUUUUGGGGAGAAAAACUAGUCUCAUGUGAAAUUUCAGUCAUUGGAUUAACUAAAAUGGAUUUCAACCGUAAAUAGUGUUUGAUAGUUUGAAAGAUUCAAAAAUUAUUGUGUCUUAUAUUAUAGAUAUUAGAUUUUAAUAAUAAACACUCAUUUGUUUAUGAAAAUAUAUUUAACAUUAUUUAUCAAUAGGCAAUAAAUGAAAUUAAUCUUUUGACUCUUUUAUUUGUUUAGUCAAUCCUAAUUUAUUGUUUAAUAGAAAUAAAUUAUUGUUGUAAAUUAUUAAAAUAUAAUUUUUAUUUUUUAUUUUUUUUAAAUAAUAAAAAAUAUUUGUAAUAUUAAAAAAAUAAACAUAUAUGAAAGAUAUAACAUUACAUUAAUUACAAAAUGUAUCAGAACGUCGCUAAAAUUAAAUAAAAAAAGCAUUAAAAAAUUAAACUGGACUUGUCCAUCCUGAACCGGACCGUUACUAGAGCAGUCAAGCCCGUUAUUAUAACGGUCUAGUCUAAUAGACCGAUCUAGGCCAGGAGAAUGGCUAACGGUCUAGGCAAAAUUCAAACCGUUACUUAGCGAUCUAAACAAACCCUAAAUUAGGGGUGUCCAUGGUCCAAAUUGGUCCGAUUUCAUAAGAAUCCAGUAACCAAUCCAUAUUUAACGGUUC